rnacentral:lncRNA from 1 species
AAGUAUCCGCCCUCGAGCGAUACCUAAGUCUACAUCUUGAGCACACCUAUCAAACACAAUAUGACUAUGUAUAUAUAGCCAUCUCAAACUAGACAAAUCAGAAUCUAAUUCUAAAACAGCUACACAUAGUCCUAAUCCAAUUCUGAUUUCCAACUAAAAUCAGAAUCCAAUUCCAACUAGGUCUUCUAUCUUUGUGACCAAAACAUAUUCUUUAUAAUAACUGUCUAAACAUACAAUUAUUAUCCUUAUAUAUUUUGGAUCACCAAAGUCCAUGUUACCUUGUAAUGGGCUGAUACCUAACAAUCCUCCCCUUCAGCCCAAUACAAUCAACAAUCACGAUCAAGACAUCGACGUCCAUCCGCCAAUGCCUCCCCUCGAACAAGAAUCUCCAUGUCUCGUUCUUCCAAAUUUUAUCCAUCUACAAAAUCACGUGCAUCAACCCCGAGUGCUCUUCCAUCCAUGAGUCACCCGAUCCUUGCUUUCACAAUCCUCCGGCCUCUAGAAGAACCAUCCAAUCUUCUUCCAUAUUGAGUCCAUCAUGAUUGAUCCACGGUGCAAGUCAACCGUCAUACCGCACGUAACUUUGCCUCUUCCUGCUAACAAAACCUCCAUCGUACUCUGCAUUCUCGAUUAAAUCCCGAAUUUUCCUCCAACCUCAUCAAUCCCGAUCCUGACCUCGGCUCUUGAUACCACUUGUUAGGGAUAAAACACGAGAUUCAAUCUUCUAAUGCAAAGCACACAUAAAACAAUAUAUUUGACGUGGAAAACCCACGUCCCAACUUGUAUUAUUAAUCAAAACCAUUAUCAACAAUACAAUCAAACCAAACUUGGAUACUCAAGCCUACUACCCAAGUAUCCGCCCUCGAGCGAUACCUAAGUCUACAUCUUGAGCACACCUAUCAAACACAAUAUGACUAUGUAUAUAUAGCCAUCUCAAACUAGACAAAUCAGAAUCUAAUUCUAAAACAGCUACACAUAGUCCUAAUCCAAUUCUGAUUUCCAACUAAAAUCAGAAUCCAAUUCCAACUAGGUCUUCUAUCUUUGUGACCAA